AGUACGACUUAUUUUCUAGUGAUGUAAACAACAAGUUGGAUGCGUAAAAUAAAUUUAAUAAAUGUUCAUGAAUAAAUAGAAGUUCUAGGAAAAGAACACCAUACAACUACUUUGAGGUUUCCACUAUCUUUCAGCUAUAUUCUCAUCCAACUGUGUUAGUCAACAAAUGUAAUCCGACUUAACACGAAUACAGUACAUGAUAGAGUAUAAACGUUUUAAUAAAUUUACAUUUGGACAUAAUAUGGAUUUAACAAAGUAAUACGAAUGGCAAAAAUUGGCACUAGAAAUAAAAAAGACAAUACAGAUUUAGCCCCUGAUGGAGGAUGGGGAUGGAUUGUUUGUAUUGGAACAUUUUUUGCCAAUUUUAUUGCCGAUGGAACUAUGUUUUCAUCGGGAGUGCAGAUGAUGGCAUUUUUAAAAUAUUUUGGUGAAACAAAAGCAGCUACAGCAUGGGUGAGCUCAUCUCAACUUGGACUAAGCAUGAUGAUGGGUCCAGUUGUGAGUUUUCUCAUUGUUAAGUAUUCAGUAAGAACCGUUGCGAUAGCUGGAGGCGUUAUUGCCUUUCUCGGCACAGUGGCGGGAGCUUUCUCACCAAAUCUUACUAUUCUUAUUUUUACAUAUGGCGUUAUUUGCGGAAUUGGAAUAUGUUUUUUCUUCCUUUCAUCAAUAGUAGCGGUUGGACUCUAUUUCACUCGAAAAAGAGCCAUAGCAACUGGUAUAGCAAUGAGCGGAAGUGGUUUAGGUGUGAUUGUUUACCCAUAUCUCACACAAUUAUUAUUAGACAUGUAUGAUUGGAGAAACACUUUGUUAAUUAUAGCUGCUUUGUGUCUGAACGCUGUAGUAUGUGGGGCUUUAUUCAGACCAUUAACGAGACGAAACAUAGAUAGUUCAACUUGUAAAUGUUUAGAGGAAAACUCUGUUUCCGAUUCCGAUGAAAGACGAUCUAUGUUAUCUUUGAGAUACAAGAACGAAGAAUCUGUUUCAACAAAUAAAGUUUAUAACUCAACAUCAGGGAUCGGUGGAGAACUAAAGUCGUUUCUUGACACAAACUUAAAUGAGAAUUUUGAUAAAAGACAAUUUUUCAGUGAACAACAUUUAAGCUCGAUAAAAACAACCAAUGUCAGAAAAACAGAGUAUCAUUUUUUGCUAUCACCAAGGUUACGCAGUGACGUAUUUUACUCCGGAAGUAUAAACUUUUUACCUUCGUACGACUCCAAACUUAAGUUCGAAAACGGUCUAGAAGACGACAAUAAAAAGGCAAAAGAAAAAAAUGAUUCAUUGUUUCUAAGCUGUAUACAGAUGUUUCGGCAACUACGAUUUACUCUUCUGUUAUGUUGCAUGGUUAUGUGGACUUCACAGUCUAUAACUAUGACUUAUAUACCAGACAUGGUUGUUUCAAAGGGUAUUCCACGGUAUCAUGCCGCCAUGUUGAUAUCAAUCAUUGGCGUAACCAAUACCGUUGUCAGGAUUCUGGCGGGAUUUACGGUAGAUUUUUUCCAUGUACGAAGUAUCCAUCUAUACCUUGGAGCAUUGUGUCUAGGGGCGAUAACCAAUAUUGCAUUACCAUGGUGUGACAGUUUUCCUUUACUAGCGACAUGUGCUGUUGGAUUCGGAAUAUGUAUGGGUUCGCUACCUAGGUCACCAGAAACAGGGGUGGAUAGGUAGGGGUAAGUUUCGCGGACAGAAUAAAGAGGUAAUUUCAUCCUGAAAAUCAUGAGAUUGUAAAACGUGUGCCUGUUCCGAGGCUUAUUGAUAUUUAUCAUUAGACCUAGUGACGAAAUGUUUAAAUGUAUCACUUCUUAGCUUUGAAUGAAACGUAGACACCCGCAGAACAUAAAAAAAAAAACAUGCAUGCAGACACAAUAAUAUUCAUAUAUGUUAAAUAUGUUCAUAUGAUAAAGAAGUGGACUGCAUGAUUAUCGUUCGUACUUACAUUUUGGUGACGAUGUAAGCGGUGCAUGUUUCAUAGAAUAUUUUCGACGCUGAACAGUAAACUACAGUUUUUUUACUACAAAACUGUUCUUUAAUAUACAUGAUAUACGCAAUAUUUGUUUGUCAAAAAACCCAUCUCGCAUGCAAAGCUUAUAAUUUGUCACGGCCGACGCACGUUUCGUCUACACAAGACUCAUCAGUGGCGCCCGAAUAAAAUAUUUUUUAAAUGUUAAAUCAAACACGAACUUGAAGAGCAUUGCAAGCCAAAUAUUCGAAAAAUAUAUAUUGCCAAAUAUAGUUAAGUUCGUCUGUGGCUGGGGUAGAAAAUCAUAAUUUUUCGAACGGUUCAAGAUUUUUAAAGCAGAAAAUGACCAUAUCAAUGAUAUUAUACGUCAACACUGGACUGGUGUACAUGUAUCCGCGGGGACGAAAUGUCUAUGGGUUCCUGUUUGUAGUAGCUAGUAUUAGCCCUGAAGAUGUUUUCAUUACCAUUUUAAAGGUGACUUCGUUGCGUAUUAUUCUUUAUAUGUAUAAAAAUAAAAUCACUAAUAAAAUUCUGAUUAAUUUUCUUCUAUAAAUAAAGAAAUGUUCAUAUUAUACAUGAAAAUUCAAUUAAUAGAAUAUUAAAGACAAGAUUAUGAAGAUGGCGAUAUCCUGCUAAAUAAUGCACCAGAGAUUAAAAAAUAGAAGUAUCCUAUUUGAGCAGGAAACAUAACAUGUUUGUUUCCUUUAACCUCUAAACUAUUUAAUACAUGUUUGUUAAUUUCGAUAGUUAGAAAGACAAUUAUUUCAGCAUUCCUAAAAACAAGAUUACUGCCGAAAAAAAGGAGAAAUGAACUUCUAUUUUAUUAUAAAUAGCCUUGGUGGUAAAAACCACUGUCCAAUUUGUUUUUUUUUACAUGAGCAACGUUUAUUGGGUAUCCAAUUAUAGAAGAAGGAAAUUGAAUUGAACGAUUAUAUCAAUGAAUUGUGUCUUAUCAUGGUUCCACUAGGCAUAUCAGUAUUGAAAUCUGUAUGAAUCAGGACGAAAAAACAUAAUGUUACUCAAUAUAUUUUGGGACGAAAUAAUUCACGUAAAACAAUAUGAUGAAAGCAAAUAAAUACUUUUUGGCAGGCAUGUCUUAUAUAAUAAACUAAAUAUUGAAAUAUAAAAAAAUAUUAUGACGGACUCUUAAAACAUGAAAUUUAGGUGUAGUCAUAUCUAAAAUAUAUAGAUUUUGAUGAUAAGAAUGUCGAUUUGUUAUCAUAUUUUAACUUUCCAGGUACAGUAGUUUGUCUGCGUACAAUCCUGAUUGCAGAUAUUCUUGGAAUUGAUCAACUGACAGUAGCAUUUGGAAUCAUUGCAUUUUUCCAAGGAUUAACUUUUAUUGUCGAUCCACCUUUAGCAGGUUUUAUAUAUGAUAUGACGGGA